rnacentral:rRNA from 1 species
GCUGGCGGCAGGCCUAACACAUGCAAGUCGAACGGUAACAGGAAGAAGCUUGCUUCUUUGCUGACGAGUGGCGGACGGGUGAGUAAUGUCUGGGAAACUGCCUGAUGGAGGGGGAUAACUACUGGAAACGGUAGCUAAUACCGCAUAACGUCGCAAGACCAAAGAGGGGGACCUUCGGGCCUCUUGCCAUCGGAUGUGCCCAGAUGGGAUUAGCUUGUUGGUGGGGUAACGGCUCACCAAGGCGACGAUCCCUAGCUGGUCUGAGAGGAUGACCAGCCACACUGGAACUGAGACACGGUCCAGACUCCUACGGGAGGCAGCAGUGGGGAAUAUUGCACAAUGGGCGCAAGCCUGAUGCAGCCAUGCCGCGUGUAUGAAGAAGGCCUUCGGGUUGUAAAGUACUUUCAGCGGGGAGGAAGGGAGUAAAGUUAAUACCUUUGCUCAUUGACGUUACCCGCAGAAGAAGCACCGGCUAACUCCGUGCCAGCAGCCGCGGUAAUACGGAGGGUGCAAGCGUUAAUCGGAAUUACUGGGCGUAAAGCGCACGCAGGCGGUUUGUUAAGUCAGAUGUGAAAUCCCCGGGCUCAACCUGGGAACUGCAUCUGAUACUGGCAAGCUUGAGUCUCGUAGAGGGGGGUAGAAUUCCAGGUGUAGCGGUGAAAUGCGUAGAGAUCUGGAGGAAUACCGGUGGCGAAGGCGGCCCCCUGGACGAAGACUGACGCUCAGGUGCGAAAGCGUGGGGAGCAAACAGGAUUAGAUACCCUGGUAGUCCACGCCGUAAACGAUGUCGACUUGGAGGUUGUGCCCUUGAGGCGUGGCUUCCGGAGCUAACGCGUUAAGUCGACCGCCUGGGGAGUACGGCCGCAAGGUUAAAACUCAAAUGAAUUGACGGGGGCCCGCACAAGCGGUGGAGCAUGUGGUUUAAUUCGAUGCAACGCGAAGAACCUUACCUGGUCUUGACAUCCACAGAACUUUCCAGAGAUGGAUUGGUGCCUUCGGGAACUGUGAGACAGGUGCUGCAUGGCUGUCGUCAGCUCGUGUUGUGAAAUGUUGGGUUAAGUCCCGCAACGAGCGCAACCCUUAUCCUUUGUUGCCAGCGGUCCGGCCGGGAACUCAAAGGAGACUGCCAGUGAUAAACUGGAGGAAGGUGGGGAUGACGUCAAGUCAUCAUGGCCCUUACGACCAGGGCUACACACGUGCUACAAUGGCGCAUACAAAGAGAAGCGACCUCGCGAGAGCAAGCGGACCUCAUAAAGUGCGUCGUAGUCCGGAUUGGAGUCUGCAACUCGACUCCAUGAAGUCGGAAUCGCUAGUAAUCGUGGAUCAGAAUGCCACGGUGAAUACGUUCCCGGGCCUUGUACACACCGCCCGUCACACCAUGGGAGUGGGUUGCAAAAGAAGUAGGUAGCUUAACCUUCGGGAGGGCGCUUACCACUUUGUGAUUCAUGACUGGGGUGAAGUCGUAACAAGGUAACCGUAGGGGAACCUGCGGUUGGAUCACCUCCUUACCUUAAAGAAGC